rnacentral:lncRNA from 1 species
GCAUAUACUUGCUCAAAUACGUAAACUAAAAGCAGGCUCUUUUGAGUUGUUUGGAGGAUUCAUGGCUACAUAUAACCUGGUAGUGCAUGUACUGUGGGGCUCAUCCAAAUGGGAGAGGCCCUUCGGGGGCCUGCAUCAGAGUGAGGAGGCACGUCCCUGGGUAGCUCACCCUGGCCACCGGGAUGUGAAGACCCCUGGGGAUCUGCAGAACAGUGUCAAUGACACCGAUGGGAGGGGUCGUCCUUCUGGUUACUGAUGUGAACGGCAGUGGCUCCAGUAUUUCACCAUUAAGCAUCCUGCUGGACUUGAUUUUACAUAGAAAGUUCUUUUGGCCUAGAAUGCCCGUCCCUUCUUCACCUCGCCAUCUUCUUCACCUGACAAAUAGAAACGGCAAGCAAUAGGAUAUGUUAGAGUAUAUGAGGAAGCCAUUUGGUGUAAACCUAAUUCGGCCUGACUUUGUUUUUUCCAAAAGGGCCUGACGUGGUCGUUGAGCACGCGUUGUACCUCCGCUUUAAAACAUUUCCUGUGGCAAGAACAAAUGGCCUUAAGAUAAAGCUCACCUGUGACCACCCAGCUUGAGACAACAGACCUGCCACCCUGCUGUAUUCACUGAGACAGCAGACCUACCUGCUGUUUCCAUCAAUCACUGUGCUGACAGAGCAGUCUCGCAACUAUUGUAAAAGGGACAUUUCAAUCCUAUGUGAAACAUCCUCUCUGGGGGUAUAUAACCACCCUGUGCACCCCACUUCUUUGGUGCCCUUUCUUCCUUCGGGAAGAAAGGCCCUGGGCCAUGGUCCUCAGAUUUCAGCUCAGAAUAAACUCUCCCAAAUUUUCAUUUA